rnacentral:rRNA from 1 species
UACGUAGGGUGCGAGCGUUGUCCGGAAUUACUGGGCGUAAAGAGUUCGUAGGCGGUUUGUCGCGUCGUUCGUGAAAACUUGGGGCUUAACUCCAAGCGUGCGGGCGAUACGGGCAGACUUGAGUACUACAGGGGAGACUGGAAUUCCUGGUGUAGCGGUGAAAUGCGCAGAUAUCAAGAGGAACACCGGUGGCGAAGGCGGGUCUCUGGGUAGUAACUGACGCUGAGGAACGAAAGCGUGGGU